UACGUAGGGUGCAAGCGUUGUCCGGAAUUAUUGGGCGUAAAGGGCGCGUAGGCGGUAGCACAAGUCAGUUGUGAAAUCUCCGGGCUUAACUCGGAAAGGUCAACUGAUACUGUGCGACUAGAGUGCAGAAGGGGCAACUGGAAUUCUCGGUGUAGCGGUGAAAUGCGUAGAUAUCGAGAGGAACACCUGCGGCGAAGGCGGGUUGCUGGGCUGACACUGACGCUGAGGCGCGAAAGCCAGGGGAGCGAACGGG
rnacentral:rRNA from 1 species